GGGAAAUGCAGUCCGCGCACCCGAGACCCCUGCUGGGACGAGAGGAACGAAGGUCAGCGUGAAGCUGCGGCCCUGAGCUGGUCCUCUUCGUCAUCACCGGGGCUGAAGAAUUAACCCGGCCGUGACUCCGUGUGAGGCAGAGAUCACGUGAUCAGCGGCGUCUGGAACCGGGUCUCAAAGGUUGCGUUCACUGGAGGCGCGGUGGGACAACGUGGGCGACCGCAUUGGGCCCCCCCCGCCUGAAAUAGCGGCGCCGCUGUCGCCAUGGCGAUAUGGAGUGGGCCUCACGGUGUCUUACCGUGUGUCCGGUGAACACUUCCUCCCCCCCCUAGUGAGCUGUGCCUUUCGUGGCUGCUGGUAUUGGUCCAUACCGCCAGGCAGUCCUUUAAUAUUUACCCGGUAAUAAUAGCAGACCUUCAGUUGUCAAUAAUUCAUUCUGUCUGUAAUUAAGCCCUCUCACUCUCUCUCUCUCUCUCUCUCUCUCUCUCUCUCUCUCUCUCUCUCUCUCUCUCUCUCUCUCUCUCUCUCUCUCUCUCUCUCUCUCUCUCUCUCUCUCUCUCUCUCCCUCUCUCUCUCUCCCCUCUCCCUCUCCCUCUCUCCCCUUUGUUUAUUGACUCUACUUUGAGGAGAUCAUUUCUCAGGUCAUUUAUGUAUCCAAUGCAAAUAUUUGGUGGUUAACUGAUGCCAAUGAUAGCCUUAUGUGUAAUUAGGAACAUAUUAGUCUGAUAAGCACUUGCAUCUACUUUUACUUGAAUCCCUGCUAAUAAAUCAAGUAUAGCAAUGAUAUUAAUUUCACGAUAAAUUUUAAAUCUUGUUCUGGCUUGUGCAAUGUAGAUCAAUCUGUAUUUAUUUGUAUAUAUCUAUGAAAAGGUUGGCCUGCUAUGAGAGGAGAAUCUAAAUAUAAGGGAAAGAUCACCACUUUGUCAACACUGUGUUCUUCUGAUUUGACCUUGAUGUCGAAGAAGUAGUUUAGAUACAUUUCGAUCCUUAGUUCUUGUUUUCUAUUUAAUAGAAGGUGUAUGUGCAAUAUUAUUUCCAAUGUACUGACGCAGUUAUGAAAACAAGAGAAUAUUUUUUUGCAGAAAUCUUAUUCAGACAGAUGAACAUCCACUUGAUAAUCAAAACAUAUAAUAAUGAGCCUGCUGAAUAAAAUUCACGUUCGUCUC
ensembl:lncRNA